rnacentral:rRNA from 1 species
AACGAACGCUGGCGGCAGGCUUAACACAUGCAAGCCGAGCGCCCCGCAAGGGGAGCGGCAGACGGGUGAGUAACGCGUGGGAAUCUACCCAUCUCUACGGAAUAACGCAUGGAAACGUGUGCUAAUACCGUAUACGUCCUUCGGGAGAAAGAUUUAUCGGAGAUGGAUGAGCCCGCGUUGGAUUAGCUAGUUGGUGGGGUAAAGGCCUACCAAGGCGACGAUCCAUAGCUGGUCUGAGAGGAUGAUCAGCCACACUGGGACUGAGACACGGCCCAGACUCCUACGGGAGGCAGCAGUGGGGAAUAUUGGGCAAUGGGCGCAAGCCUGAUCCAGCCAUGCCGCGUGAGUGAUGAAGGCCCUAGGGUUGUAAAGCUCUUUCACCGGUGAAGAUAAUGACGGUAACCGGAGAAGAAGCCCCGGCUAACUUCGUGCCAGCCGCCGCAGUAAAAC